rnacentral:rRNA from 1 species
UAGGGAAUCUUCGGCAAUGGACGAAAGUCUGACCGAGCAACGCCGCGUGAGUGAAGAAGGUUUUCGGAUCGUAAAACUCUGUUGUUAGAGAAGAACGUUGGUGAGAGUGGAAAGCUCAUCAAGUGACGGUAACUACCCAGAAAGGGACGGCUAACUACGUGCCAG